AUGCUGUCAUUACACACUGGUUAUGCUGCCAUUGCACACUGGUUAUGCUGUCAUUACACACUAGUUAUGCUGUUAUGCUGUCAUUACACACUGGUUAUGCUGUUAUGCUGUCAUUACACACUAGUUAUGCUGUCAUUACACACUGGUUAUGCUGUCAUUACACACUGGUUAUGCUGUCAUUGCACACUGGUUAUGCUGUUAUGCUGUCAUUACACACUGGUUAUGCUGUUAUUACACACUGGUUAUGCUGUCAUUACACACUGGUUAUGCUGUCAUUACACACUAGUUAUGCUGUCGUUACACACUGGUUAUGCUGUCAUUACACACUGGUUAUGCUGUCAUUGCACACUAGUUAUGCUGUCGUUACACACUAGUUAUGCUGUCGUUACACACUGGUUAUGCUGUUAUGCUGUCAUUGUACACUGGUUAUGCUGUCAUUACACACUAGUUAUGCUGUCGUUACACACUGGUUAUGCUGUUAUGCUGUCAUUGUACACUGGUUAUGCUGAUAUUGGUAAACAAAGCACUUUCUCCCUCUGUCUCUCUCGCAGGAUAGCGUGUCGUGUGGCCGCCGUAGUGGUGGCUCUACCUCUUCUCUCUCUACCCCCCCCCUCCAUCUCCCACAGCCCCCCCCAGCCGCCUCAGCUCAACGGGGUUGCCAUGGGAACAAUGCUGCUGGGAGGGGGAGCUGGGCUAGGGAUGGGGGGGAUAGUGGGGGUUCUGAACAGAGUCAUACAGACCACUUCCAGCCCUCACACAUACAGCUACACACAUACCUCCUCACCGGGCCCCAGCACCGCUCUGCCCAUCUCCAGCUCCAUCAACACCAGGUUGGGUGCCUUGUCUGAGCAGCAGAGGCUCUUACUGCACCAGAACCAACUACAACAGCUACUGUCUUCACAGCCCUCUGCGGUAAACACACACACACACACACACCAGGGCUCCGUUCUGACACCAUUUAGUCGCACAUUGCGGCCCUUUGACUUGGCUGUGCGAGUUACAUUUUUAAUUGGUUGCAUCAGUGCGAACUGCACAUUCUACAUGGUCACCUCACUCAAAAUGUUUAGGAGGCUAAAACCAUGAUUUUGGUCGAACAGUAAAGUGCUGUCGCUCAGGGGCGGCAGCGUAGCCUAGUGGUUAGAGCAUUGGACUAGUAACCGGAAGGUUGCGAGUUCAAACCCCCGAGCUGACAAGGUACAAAUCUGUCGUUCUGCCCCUGAACAGGCAGUUAACCCACUGUUCCCAGGCCGUCAUUGAAAAUAAGAAUGUGUUCUUAAUUGACUUGCCUGGUUAAAUAAAGGUCAAAUAAAUAAAAAAAUUAUCCUCGUGAUUCCUGUAAUGACAGUGUGUGUCUGCUCCUGUACCCGUUUCUCAGGGGCCUGCUGCUGUGUUGAUCAAACCACUCUCAAAUUCUCUGAGAGAAAACAAAGUGUUCUGAUUUGAAUAACCUUUUAAAAUCCUAUUGCCGGGCAAAACACAGCUGUCUCGUUGUCACACUUGGAGGUUAUCAGCUUUCUUUAGGAACACGUUUUUUAUUUCUCCGCUCUCAGUGUUUUGCAACCAAGAUCUUUGAUAUGGCUUUGAGAUACGCAGGCCUCAUUGGACGGUAGGCUACAACUGCAGCAUUUUUGGGACAUUAAGGCCUGUUUGAAUACAGAGAUGAAAUAACCCUGUAGAUUUGUUGUGGUAAACAAGGAAAUUAAAUACUUUAUUAAAUUCUCUCUCUCUCUCUCUCUCUCUCUCUCUCUCUCUCUCUCUAUCCCCCCCCUCUCUCUCUCUCUCUGCCUCUCUCUCCCCUCCCCUCUCUCUCCCUCCCUCCCCUCCCCCCUCUCUCUCUCUCUCUCUCUCUCUCUCUGUCUCUCUCUCUCUAUCCCCCCCUCUCUCUCUCUCUCUGCCUCUCUCUCCCCUCCCCUCUCUCUCCCUCCCUCCCUCCCCUGCCCUCUUUCUCCCUCCCUCCCCUCCCCUCCCCUCUCUCUCUCUCUCUCUCUCUCUCUCUUUCUAUCCCCCUCUCUCUCUCUCUCUCUCUCUCUCUCCUCUCUCUCCCUCCCUCCCUCCCCUCCCCUCUCUCUCUCUCUCUCUCUCUCUCUCUCUCUACCCCCCCUCUCUCUCCCUCUCCCCCCUCCCUCUCGCUCUCCCCCCUCUCUCUCUCCUCCCUCUCUCUCUCCCCCCUCUCUCUCUCCUCCCUCUCUCUCUCUUUCUCUCCCCCUCCCUCCCUCCCUCUCUCUCCAGGAACAGCAGCAGGUGUUAUUUUACCAGUUGAUGCAGCAACAACAAGACCUCCACCAACUCCAGUCUUCCUCCUCCCAGCUUCCCUCCAUCCCUCUCUCCUCUGCUCAGCUGCCCAUCACCUCCCUUCUUUCCUCCUCCAAUGCCCACGGCACCAUCACCGCCAACCCCUUCCUGGCUCUGCACACACACCCCGACACACACACACACCCCGACACACACACACACGCCGCUGCACAGAAGCCCCGGCUGGCUGAGAAAGCUGUUGGAGUCACUGGACAGGAGAAGACCUGACCCACAAAACAUAUCUCUCUCUUCUCUCUAUCCAUCUCUCUCUCUCUUUCUGUUGGUGAUUCUCUCUACUCUCUAUCCAUCUCUCUAUUCAUCCAUCUCUCUCUCUCUCUCUCUCUCUCUCUCUCUCUCAGGGGUCUCCACCAUCAUGUGAUCAGUGCUGUGUGUUUAACCACACAAGCUCACCCACAUAGAACUACAAACUCCAAAAAACGAUCAGGACACUAACAUAGCUGACUGACUCACAGCUCAGCUGGAGAGAUGCGGUCUGGGAAGUAUGACUCUCAUUGGACAGUUUUAAGAGAGGGAGGAGUUUGUAACUGCUUUUACCUCUCUAUAUCUGUGUGUAUGGACCAGCAUAAGACCUGACCAGAGACCACUCUAAUGUAAGACUGACUGACUGCUCAGCCAUGGAAGCCUUGCUAUGACUGUCUUUCUGCUGUACCUACCUCACACACACACAAACCAGCCGAUUAGUGCCCACAACUCUCAGCAUCGGCCAAUAGGAAUCCACAACAUUCAUGACUGGCCAGUCAGGGUCCAAUCCCCAAGUGCCUAAAGCCGAGGGGGCGGGGUUACUCAUACUCCUCUUCCUGUCUCUCCUGUCAGACAUCCAUUCUCACCAUAUUACUGGCUGUCAAGCUGCGUUGCCCAGGCAACAGGUCACACAACACAUUCUGAGAAGCUGGAAAUUGUAUUGUGCUGCUUUCACAAACUACAGAAACAAACUUUAUAAAUGGUCUCUUUUUAUUUAUUUAGAAGUGCCCGCUGUUCUUUCAAGCGUUUGUUUUAUACUAAUGUUUUAAGUUUUUCUCACUCUUGCUGUAAACAUUUUUGAGGGAAACAAAUAUUUGUUGUGUACUCAGAAAGAUUGAAGUAGUGGUGGUGGUGGAGGUGGUGGUGUAUAUAGCUGCUAUUGUGGGGAGGGGUGUGGAUUCAAUGGCACAGUUUUUACCUCGUUUGUGUAAAUAAAUAUAUAUUUUUCAUUGGCUGUGGGGUGUAAAUAAGUGAUUGUGAUUGGCCCUGCUGGUGUGAAGGAUAGCCAAUGAAACCUCAUUUUGUGUGACUCUUAUGAGCAGACAAUAGGAGACGGUGACUGAACACAAAGUAUUAAUUUAUUUUUAUAUGUGCAGCGACAUUGUUUCGUUGUUUUUCUAAGUUUCACACGGGUUAUUUUAUACUCGGCACCACGUUUCCGUCUGUGUUCACUUUUGUUUGGAUCAGUUUUGUACAACUGAAAAAUCAUAAAACAUCCUCAAGUGUUUCUAUUUCAAGUCACCGAAAUAAAGAAGCGUUCUGGAUAAAGAAAGAGACGGACUGUUGGUGAAAAGACGAGGAGGAGGACUUACAGGAAGCCUGUGUCGGGAUGUCGUCAUGGUUUGGUUUGUGAGAACAUCGGUAAAGCUUGAUUUAACAGCUCUGUUCAAGUGCUUUUUGUAAAAUGCAUUUUAAUGCUUUGGUUGAAUAAAGAACAGAUCUACCUCCCUAAACCUUCUGUCUAAUAACAGGUUUCUCUUUGUUUAACCUCUUUACCCCCCAUCUCUGGAUGGAUGAAGGGAUGACAAACAGACUCUCGCACUCUCUCUCGUUUUCCGUCUUCUGUCUAGUGUUUAGCAGUUUCUGCAUGCCCCUUUAAUAGUGGUCCAGGUUCCCCCUGCCCCAGCAAACACACACACACAAUGUGCACCCCUGUCCCUGAUGACUUCCAGCUGCCUAGCUGUGUGUGUGUGUGUGCGCCAUUCUGCUACAUCUGCUUCUGCUCGGGGAAUUAAAAGCUCACUUUCCCCUCACAUCUCAGCCCCCCAGCAACUCUUCAACCCUCACCCUCUAUCAGCCCUGUCACUCAAGUCCAGGCUGUUUAAACAUGCCCCCUCUCUACCUCCUUGUCCACCACUCUCCUCCCCUCCUCCCCUGUCCUUAUUCAUCGCCCCGUCCUCCUCCUCCUUUCCUCCCUCUCAUUCAAUCCAUUCACAGCAUUCCCAUUCUGGGGUGGGAGCAGAGCCGUCGUCCAUCAUUGAUUACCUCCCAGCAGCCACUGCUUCUCCCCGGGGGAGGGGAGGUUAACAGCUGAGUGAGGACCCCCAUGCUCCCGAAUGAGGUGCCUGAUCAAAAGUCAAAACACUAAGCUGCAGAACAUCAGUCGUUUCACACACAAUUCUCCAUUGAGUUUUCUGCUUCAUCUGGAAGCAGGAAACUGGCCCAAAAUGUCCAGAUGAAGAGAUCAAAAGAAGUCAUAGUAAUAAUAAUUAGACAUGUAUUUAGUAAUUAAUUUAAAAUUGUAUUUAAAUUAAACAUGAAUUUAGUAAUUCAAAUGAAAAAUUACCAUUUAGGAAAACCAUUAGCAGAAAACCAUUAGCAGCUGUAGUUGGGUGUAAAUCAUUAUGGGAAUCGUGAGGGGGUUAAUCCUCUCUCUGUGUGUGUGUGUUGUGAGGGUGAUGAUCCAGGGAAAAUUUACUCCCAGCUGCCUGGCCAAGAUUCCGGUUCAGAAUGGAACCAGAUCGCUCUGACAGAGGUGUUUAGGGCCAGAAACAGAGAGACAGAGGAGAGUAGGGGAGAGACAAAAACAGAGGAGCGAGAGGGAGGAGAUAGCGGGAGACUGAAGUGUU
rnacentral:lncRNA from 1 species